AAUUAUUACUUGUGCUAUGAACAUGAAAUGCUAUGUGGAAGCUAACUUUUCUCAGAAGUACCAUACUAAUAUCAAGUACUUUGUGAAGAUGUGGAUCAGUAUUUGUUAGUCACAUUCCUAUUUUCAUCUUCCUUGGUGUUUCUAGCACUGGAAGUAACCAUGAAUGGAAUUGACCUUACAUUUGUUUCACUGUCAUUUUUUAUCUUUUUUGAAGAGCAUUAGUAGGCAUUCUUGUGCUGACUUUCUUAAUUAACAAAUGUGAUGUGAAUUCAAUCACCAGAAAGGACCCAUUUAUUAUAGCCUAUAGGGUACUGGGGGGAGCAAUUUGCUUCUACCUUGUUUUCCUGCUACCAGAGUUUUCCAGAAAGAAGCUCUUCAUUGCAGCAAACAUAGUCGUAAUCCUCUUUACUGUUUUUUUUUAAUGACCGCCCAUCCUCUCGUUCACUUACUAGAUGUGAGAAGAAGAAGAGAGACCUCUCCAGCUGUUAGUGAACACAUUCUCAUUAGGUUCUUUGAUCAUUUGCUGGCUGGGAUAGAAGAUAUAUCAGGACACUGGGGACAAUAUUACUGGAAAGACAAAUUGGAGUAUUUCAACAGCAGAUAUCUGCAGAUUUUGCUUGGAGAGUAUGACCAUCCCACAUCAAACAUCAAAGAAGCACUGUGCUUGUUUGUGAAAAGCUUGAGAGAAAACAUACCAUUGAGUUGGCAGAAGCAGGCCAGUUAAUACACACACCGUCUAGUACAUCU
rnacentral:lncRNA from 1 species